AGUCCAGUGUGUGGGUAGAGUCCAGUGUGUGGGUAGAGUCCAGUGUGUGGGUAGAGUCCAGUGUGUGGGUAGAGUCCAGUGUGUGGGUAGAGUCCAGUGUGUGGGUAGAGUCCAGUGUGUGGGUAGAGUCCAGUGUAUGGGUAGAGUCCAGUGUGUGGAGUAGAUCCAGUGUGUGGGUAGAGUCCAGUGUGUGGGUAGAGUCCAGUGUGUGGGUAGAGUCCAGUGUGUGGGUGGAAGUCCGUGUGUGGGUAGAGUCCAGUGUGUGGGUAGAGUCCAGUGUGUGGGUAGAGUCCAGUGUGUGGGUAGAGUCCAGUGUGUGGGUAGAGUCCAGUGUGUGGGUAGAGUCCUGUGUGUGGGUAGAGUCCAGUGUGUGGGUAGAGUCCAGUGUGUGGGUAGAGUCCAGUGUGUGGGUAGAGUCCAUGUGUGGUAGAGUCCAGUGUGUGGGUAGAGUCCAGUGUGUGGAUAGAGUCCAGUGUGUGGGUAGAGUCCAGUGUGUGGGUAGAGUCCAGUGUGUGGGUAGAGUCCAGUGUGUGGGUAGAGUCCAGUGUGUGGGUAGAGUCCAGUGUGUGGGUAGAGUCCAGUGUGUGGGUAGAGUCCAGUGUGUGGGUAGAGUCCAGUGUGUG
rnacentral:lncRNA from 1 species